UUUUCUGCUUUCCCGGUUGCCGCCGUGAGUCAGCGCAGCUGGAGAGGGGGUGGGCUCAGUGCAGCUCUAGUGGUGCUACCCCCCUCCCGGUGUGCUUGGCUGGAGGCCUCUCCCAGGCAGGCGUGUUACGCUGCUGGGACCAAACGAAAAUUAGUUGUCAUCCAACGCUCCUAGGCACAGAACGCUGUUAUAACAGCUACUGAAACAUUGUGAAAUUCCCAUAACCCUCAACCGAAGAAUGUCUAAUUUAAUGGAUAAUGCAUCUUCCUUAAGAUUAGAAUGCUGGGUAUUCUGUCAGUACUACAGCACUAAGGAGCAACCUUACAUCCACCAAACUUGUAAAUGAGGAAAGUGGAGAGACUUCUUGCUAAGGAAACAGACUUCAAACAUAUCUUGCACAGUUAGAGAUCCAACCCCAAACUACCUCUUCUACAAAACAGAUGAACCAGCACCAAAAAAUGCCACAAACAAAAAUGUAUCGGAGGGGUAGCCGUAUUAGUCUGGAUCUGCAAAAGCGACAAGGAGUCCUGUGGCAAUCAACCAACCUCAUAAAAGAGAAUGUAAGU